rnacentral:misc_RNA from 1 species
ACAACCCGUCGCAUUACUGUAGGACAGACGGAUCACACCUUGCGAUGCGCCAAGCGUGGACUGGGGCAGCGCCGGGCAGGGUAUAGAGCUUCGAAAACUAGAAACGGAGGUCGCCGACCCUGUCGUCUGUAGGGGAAGGCAACACGCGGUCACGGCGGUACAUCGCGAGCCGGACGGCGGACCCACGUAGUCUAAGACCC